UACCAGCACCCUGAGUGGUCGGGACGAUUAUUGGGCCUAAAGCAUCCGUAGCCGGUCCUGCAAGUCUUCCGUUAAAUCCAGCUGCUCAACAGAUGGGCUGCGGGGGAUACUACAUGGCUAGGAGGCGGGAGAGGCAAGCGGUACUUUAUGGGUAGGGGUAAAAUCCGUUGAUCCAUAGAAGACCACCAGUGGCGAAGGCGGCUUGCCAGAACGCGCUCGACGGUGAGGGAUGAAAGCUGGGGGAGCAAACCGG
rnacentral:rRNA from 1 species